ensembl:lncRNA
AUGCCUUGCACGCCAGGAGGGUUCUGCAGAGGCCACUGGUGCUGUGGGGAGCCAGCACCAGGAGCAGCCGGAAGACACCGUCGCGGCCCCUCACUCGGGGGUUGGGGCACAGGGGUGGGGUCACUGCCCAGGCGCCCCCUACCCGACUCAUCACCAGGGCCACCCACCCCCACCUUUUCCUACAUCUGCUGGAAGGCAUCACGGAAGACAUCCCCCCGGAGCAGGGCCAGGAUGGCACCAGCCGUGGCCAGCAGGAAGGGCGGCAGCCCCUGCAGCCCACCUGGGAAGCCACAACAUACAAGAAGCCCCCAGGCCUGGCUGAUGCAGAGUGUGGUGCUGGCGGCCUCAGCCCUGGCCCUUGCGGACACCCUCAGAGUGUCCAAGAAGACGAGCGGCCACCUAGCUGGCGCAUCAGGCCAGCUGGGCUGGGUCACUGGUCCCUGUGGCUGCAGUCCCCAUGGCCUCAGGGACACAGCGGCAAAGGGAAACGUCCCCGGCCACCGGCCGGACCUGGCCAGUUCUGGGGGGCAGGAAGGGGCCCCCUCGUCUCCUUGAGCCUGGGGCCCAGCUGCAGGCAUGCAGCCACCCCCGGCAAGUGCCACCCGGCAAAGCGGGAAACCGAGGCCCUGGAAGCUGCUCGCAGGGCAGUGGCUGAGCGAGAAUGUUGCCCCGGGGGGUGCCUGACACCGGAACCGUCCCCACACUCCUCUCUCAAAGCCGAGAGACCUGACUCUUACGUGGGCUCUGGUCAGUCAUCGGACCUCUCUGGCCCUCGGUUUCCUUCUCUGUAAAAAGGUAAAAAGCCAUGUGCAGUGGGUCUUCAUUCACAGAAUGAAUAUUCUGCUCUGGACUGGCGUCAGGGCGGAAACAGGGGCUCAGGGAGAAAGGGGCUGACCUCUCAGAGUCAGGAAGGCCGCCAGCCGACGAAGGCUUCCUGGAAGAGGCCACCUGGUGCAGAGACCCGUGGCAGGUCUGCUCCAGGCUCCAGGCCAGCCUAGUCUGGUUCUUUUUGUUAUCUUGCCCACACUGGGGAACAGGUGUUUUGAGAAACCGGACCGGAGACAGCCUACUGAACUCGGGGCACGGACCCUGCCGUGCCAGGACGUGGGUCCUGCCGGGGAACCUGGCCGCCCACCCUUGGACUCAUGGAGCUGAUCAGAUUAGACGGAAGUGCGUCCACACCAGCGAUCAAACCAGGAGUGACCGUUCAUCCGACUCCUUAGCCGUGACUGGAUGCCUUCCCUGAUGAGGAACAGAUUUAGUCCUGUGAACGGGAGAAAAAAGGCCUUUUCUUUUUGUGCAGAAUAAGCAGCCCCACAUUUGUUUUGUUCACCCAGAGAGUGACAAGGCCAGCAAUAGCCUGGGGGCAACGCCUGACAGAGAGGAAGGACAAACGGAGGUCGUGCAUGAGGAAGGAGAAGCCAGCUGCACGCCUGAGCGCUACUUGCAAAACGCGGAGCUGAGCCGCGCUGGGAGGAGACCGGAAAGGAAGGCGCAUCCAAGGUUGCCAGGGUGGGGGGUGGGAGCUUCGUUCCAGGUGUCCGCCGUCGGGCCGUCCCUCACAUGGUCACCAACACCUGUUACCCCCCACCUUUCUAAUUUUGUCCGUCUCCUUGCUUGAUUUGGAAUCUCUGUGGUCACAGGGGCUCCCGUUCUCCCCCGUUCUAGGUACUCACUGAGCCUCGGGCACUUCUAGGCUUCGGCUGUCCCUCUCCUUGUUUGACGCCUGCCUGCUAACUGCCAAUUGUUUGUGGAACAGGAAUCCUUCAUUCUGGUGAAGUCAGACUCACCCACAAUCAGCAGGUAGUUUCUGUUUGGGUCUUGGCAUCUUUCGCGACUCCUCGGUCCAGGUCCUUCUAUGUGCCUAGAGUGUUCUCUGCCGUACGCAAGUCUUACUGAAUUUGGUAUCCAGCUUGUCUGCGAUGCGGGCAAGGGGCCUCAUUUCCCUGCCCCACCUGUCCCACGGACUGUCCCUUUCCCCGCCAUUGCUGGUAGCAGUCCUUGCGUGCACACGGGGGCAUUUUGCGUCGUCUCGUGCCUGCCCCCGCUGUCUGUUCCUAACUUCAUUACGCGUGGCUUUGUCUUAGUAUCCAGGAGCUUGUCUCUUCUUACGUCACGGAUAUUUUUUCUCUUUAUUUUAAAAAUAAAAUCGUUACAUUCCUG